rnacentral:rRNA from 1 species
UACGAAGGGGGCUAGCGUUGUUCGGAAUUACUGGGCGUAAAGGGCGCGUAGGCGGCCUCGUCCGUCCGGCGUGAAAUGCCUAGGCUCAACCUAGGAAUUGCGCUCGAUACAGCGAGGCUAGAGUGUGGGAGAGGUUGGUGGAAUUCCCAGUGUAGAGGUGAAAUUCGUAGAUAUUGGGAAGAACACCGGUGGCGAAGGCGGCCAACUGGACCACAACUGACGCUGAGGCGCGAAAGCGUGGGGAGCAAACAGG